rnacentral:rRNA from 1 species
AACGUACGCUGGCGGCACGCUUAACACAUGCAAGUCGAACGAAGUAGCAAUACUUAGUGGCAGACGGGUGAGUAACAUGUGGGUAUCUGCCCUUUGGCCUGGAAUAACACGAGGAAACUUGUGCUAAUACCGGAUAAGUCUUUACGGAGAAAGCUUUAUGCACCAUUGGAUGAGCCUGCACUUGAUUAGUUUGUUGGUGGGGUAAUGGCCUACCAAGACUGUGAUCAAUAGCUGAUUUGAGAGGAUGAUCAGCCACAUUGGGACUGAGACACGGCCCAAACUCCUACGGGAGGCAGCAGUGGGGAAUCUUGCACAAUGGAGGAAACUCUGAUGCAGCGAUGCCGCGUGAGUGAAGAAGGCCCUUGGGUUGUAAAGCUCUUUCGUCGGGGAAGAAAAUGACUGUACCCGAAUAAGAAGGUCCGGCUAACUUCGUGCCAGCAGCCGCGGUAAUACGAAGGGACCUAGCGUAGUUCGGAAUUACUGGGCUUAAAGAGUUCGUAGGUGGUUGAAAAAGUUAGUGGUGAAAUCCCAGAGCUUAACUCUGGAACUGCCAUUAAAACUUUUCAGCUAGAGUAUGAUAGAGGAAAGCAGAAUUUCUAGUGUAGAGGUGAAAUUCGUAGAUAUUAGAAAGAAUACCAAUUGCGAAGGCAGCUUUCUGGAUCAUUACUGACACUGAGGAACGAAAGCAUGGGUAGCGAAGAGGAUUAGAUACCCUCGUAGUCCAUGCCGUAAACGAUGUGUGUUAGACGUUGGAAAUUUAUUUUCAGUGUCGCAGCGAAAGCGAUAAACACACCGCCUGGGGAGUACGACCGCAAGGUUAAAACUCAAAUGAAUUGACGGGGACCCGCACAAGUAGUGGAGCAUGUGGUUUAAUUCGAAGAUACGCGCAGAACCUUACCAACACUUGACAUGUUCGUCGCGACUCUAAGAGAUUAGAGUUUUCGGUUCGGCCGGACGAAACACAGGUGCUGCAUGGCUGUCGUCAGCUCGUGUCGUGAGAUGUUGGGUUAAGUCCCGCAACGAGCGCAACCCUCACUUUUAGUUGCCAUCAUUAAGUUGGGCACUCUGAAAGAACUGCCAGUGAUAAGCUGGAGGAAGGUGGGGAUGACGUCAAGUCCUCAUGGCCCUUACGUGUUGGGCUACACACGUGCUACAAUGGUAUCUACAACAGGAAGCAAGACUGCGAGGUCAAGCAAAUCCUUAAAAGAUACCUCAGUUCGGAUUGCACUCUGCAACUCGAGUGCAUGAAGCUGGAAUUACUAGUAAUCGUGGAUCAGCGUGCCACGGUGAAUGCGUUCCCGGGUCU